AACGAACGCUGGCGGCAUGCCUAACACAUGCAAGUCGAACGAGACCUUCGGGUCUAGUGGCGCAUGGGUGCGUAACGCGUGGGAACCUGCCCUUAGGUUCGGAAUAACUCCCCGAAAGGGGUGCUAAUACCGGAUAAUGUCUUCGGCCCAAAGAUUUAUCGCCUUUGGAUGGGCCCGCGUUGGAUUAGCUAGUUGGUAGGGUAAAAGCCUACCAAGGCGACGAUCCAUAGCUGGUCUGAGAGGAUGAUCAGCCACACUGGGACUGAGACACGGCCCAGACUCCUACGGGAGGCAGCAGUGGGGAAUAUUGGACAGUGGGCGAAAGCAUGAUCCAGCAAUGCCGCGUGAGUGAUGAAGGCCUUAGGGUUGUAAAGCUCUUUUACCCGGGAUGAUAAUGACAGUACCGGGAGAAUAAGCUCCGGCUAACUCCGUG
rnacentral:rRNA from 1 species